CUUUGCUUCGGGAGGGCCUCUCUGCUCCGGCUGGAGAAAACUGGAGAAGGAGGAACCACCGUGGACGUGGGCUGGGGAGGGGGCAGGGUGUCAGCGAUGGAAACAGCUCCUGUGGAGGAAGCAAGCUGAUGGCAGGCAAGCGGCCCAGGGAGGCAAGCCGAGGGAGAGCAGAGGCACCAGUUCCUGAGCAUUUCCUAGAAAACUACUCUUCGGUUUUCUGUCAAAACAGAGAGUAGCAGUGGAGGGACCAGCCCCAGAGGACCUCUUCGGCAAAAGAAACUCUGACUUUGGGAGUUGCCCCAUUGGGAGGACGGCGCGCAACCCGUGGAGAGGCCCACACGGGUGGAUAGGAAGUGCUUCUGCCUCCUGCCAGCAGCCUCUCGAGCAGGACUGGGAGCAGGUCCUCCACUGCCAGCUGAAUCUUGACGUGACUGCAGCAGCAGCCAACAGCUUGACCCGCCUUGAGCCCCAGGCACUCAGAGAACUCUUCCAGGGUGCUUCGUGACCUGCCAGCUUCUUGCUUUCUGCUGAAUCUGCUUGUGCAGAGGUUGGAUCAUGUCAAGUCCUUGUCUCACCUGGCUGCCAACAGACUUCUUGUUCAGCACCUAUUGAACCUGCUCAUGUUUAUUUAGAAAAUAAACAAAGAAAAUAAACCAAAGGAAAAAAGAUGGUUUUCUGUGACAUUGGCAAGAGGAAUCUUCAUGGGGAGGAUGGCUGGAUUCCCGCCUCAGAAAGAAAAGGUGCAUGGGCCCUGUAGGCCAUCUGCUGCUGGGCAUCAGAACCAGGGUGUUCUAUUUCAUUUUUUCCAAGAUUGCUAUUCUACCCUCUGCUCUGAACUAGUGCCAAAUGUCCUGAGGGGCUUGCCUUAUGUGAAUUGAGGGCUGCAGCAUCAGCCGAUGGACAUUGUGCUUUUCAUGCCUUUGUGUAUUUCGCUCCCCUGGCUCUGACUCUGCCCGUGAUCUCAUUCAUUUGACUCCCAGUUUUCUCUUCUGAAAUGUUUAAUUCAUGCAGCUCGUGACCCUAACCUGAUCUAAUAUCUGCAGCCUCAUCACCCUGUGCUCUGGCCACACUGAAUUAACAACUGAUCACUAAACCUACUAGACCUUGAUGUGAUUGUGCAUCCUUGAGAGCUUUUGUCUUCCCUCAAAUGCCCUGCACCUUACUCACCAGGCAGACUCUUACGCUGCUGCCGAGAGCCUGUUCGAUUGUCUUUCCCUUUGUGAAGAUUUUCUGAGCCCCUCAGGCAGCUUGCUUUCCUGUUUUGAUCUGUCACAGUAUUGGACACAUUUCUUCAGUUUGUUUAUUCAUUCAUUGAUUCAACAGGUUUCAUUAAUUCGUUACUGUGUGCCAACCACUCUAGGGCACUGUGAACAGAGUGGUGAAUAAGGCAGAUAUAGUUUCCGAUAGCAAUGAUGAUCAAAGGCAUAGAUGAUUUUAAAAGUAUCAAUGAUUAAAUUAGCGUGAAGAAGUAUAUCACAUAUGGGAACAUAGAUUGGCGGAGGGGCAAUGUAAUUCAGGGCUUUGAGAGGGCCUCAGGUAGGAACAAAUGUUCGAGCUGAGAGUUGAACCCUCGGUGUAGGCAGAAUGGUUCAUGCACCGUGUGUCUUCAUACAUAGAACCUGACAGUCACUCAGUAAAAGCUUGUGGAACCAAUGAACGACUGAAUGUACUAUACAACCACAGUGGCAGUUUGAGGACUUGCUUAGAGUUUAAUUUCUGCCAACUCAUUUUUUUUUUAAUUUUUUUUUUUUAACGUUUAUUUAUUUUUGAGACAGAGAGAGACAGAGCAUGAACGGGGGAGGGUCAGAGAGAGAGGGAGACACAGAAUCUGAAACAGGCUCCAGGCUCUGAGCGGUCAGCCCAGAGCCCGACGCGGGGCUCGAACUCAUGGGCCGUGAGAUCAUGACCUGAGCCGAAGUCGGCCGCUCAACCGACUGAGCCACCCAGGCGCCCCUCUGCCAACUCAUUUUAACAGUGUAAGGGCUCUGUAAUAUCCAGAUAAAUGUGCAUAUGUGUAUAUAUGCAUAUUCAGAGAGAAUUUAGUUAAUACACAUACAUGUAUACCACAUGACCUUGAAAACUGUUUGACGAAUAUUAGGCUAGUUUGAGAGAACCUACAACUCAGGAAACUGGCUUUGUAGCAGGCACUGCUAAAUCUGGAGCCUCAUCUCCCGCGGAAGGAAUGAGUCUCCCCCAGCUUCUGGGAAAUCUGUUCCUUGAAGGCCUCAGGCCUCAGCCCUCUCAGUGCAGUGUCCUUGGCUGAAGAGAGCAGUCUCACUCAAGGUCACCCCCCUUCCUUAGCAUCCAAUAAUUGGUCUGUGGUGAAAAGCAGAGGCAUAAAGGCCCAGCCCCUUCAUCCCAACUAAGUAGAACUCUGAAGGGACCAUCUGAGGGCCUGAGCUCCUCAUAUAGUUGGUUGACGGCCUUGUUUUCCCUCUGCCCAAUCUGGCUUCCUUCUCUUCUGUCACAGGUGAUAUUCCAAUAGCAUUCCCUAAUAAACUUCUUGUACACUAGUCUCUAUCUCAAAGUCAGCUUCCCAAAGGAACUGGCAGCAGGCUCAAGGGGCCCAAUAAAUAGCAUCUGUCUUACCUGCUUGAAUUCUGAACAUACCCAAAAUAAGACAAAAGAAUAAAAGAGAUUGGAAACCAAAAUAUCAUUGUUAUUACAGAUAAAAACUGAUAUUGCAAAAUGUGCAAUACAACCGUGAACUGUGCUGCCUCAUCCUGAAUAAUAGAUUGAGACCCAUGUAUUCCUCAGCGGCACAAGGCUGGGCAAGACUGACCCCACAGAGACAAAGCCUCAUCCUGUAAAUUACAGCAAAGAGGGGCUUUCAGAGGGAUCCUGCAUGCUCAGAUCCUACACCUGGCUUACUCUUGGAGAGGAGUGAGGGGGUGCAGAAAGAGGCCGGAUGGUUACCCUAGUGGCACUCCCUCCCUGUGAGAGGCACACCAGGAAUGGGCAGAGGCUCCCAGCCCUCUCCUCCCUUAGCACGACCAGAGAGCCAAGCUCCUGGUUUCAGGAGCAAGAGAGGCCACAGUUCUUGCAGGGUAGUGGAUGUGCUUUUGACAUUUGUUUCUAUUGUUCAAAAGAAACGGUGCAAUUACCUACUGCUCUCUUAGGAAUGGAAAGCACAGAACCAAAGGGAAUUUUCAGUGCUUAAGUUCAAGACUCCAGGAUGAAUUCCGUUGCUACUCGUCCUGAGUGGCGCUGCUCCUGUGUACAUUUUGAUAGGAUCUAUUUUCGAUGGAGGAGAAGUGACGUACAUGUAUACAUAUUCACACAAGUAAAAAAAAAUGCUUAUUUUAUGUCUAUAUCAGUAUACAGUGGAAAUAUAUAUGGGCAAAGAGAAAGAAAUAAAGACUAGCUUCUUUUUCUCCUAGAUUUAAAUUUAUUAUAAAAAUGAUAGUAUUAAAGGAAGCUUUAGGAGAAAACAAUUGUGUUUUGCUAAAAUUUUAUCACUGCAACAUGUUUUGUAUUUUCAUCAUGUUUUGUCCAUAAAUAUUAGUGGUUUUGCAUACACACAAUUUGGAGCACUUUCCGUUUUGUUACUUGGUCUUUUUAAUGGUCACUUUUAAUGCUACAUUAAUACUCCAUCUCGUUAAUUUACCAUAAUUUAUUUAACUAUUCCCUUCCAACUGGAUAUUUAAAGUGUUUCUAAAUUUUGCAGUGAUAAAUACCUCUGCUUUUAAAGUUAGCAGACACAAAUAUAAUGCAACAAGUAAUUUAAAAAACUACUCACUUCAAUUAUUUUACAAAUGUACAAGCCAUAAAUACAUUUGAAAUCUUAGAAUAAUGAAAGUUUGAGCUUUACUUUAAAAGAGGGAGUGGGCCUAAUGGCAACUGCUUAUCUUCUCAGUUAGAUCUCUAUACCAUGCUUGUUGAUGAGAAUGUGGAUGCUUUCACAGCAGUGACCAUAUCGUGUAACCUUAUAUCUGGAAAGCUUGGUAGAAUGUCAACUGCAUAGUAGGCGUUCAAGGAAUGUUGGUGCAUAACAUAAUUUAAUAAUAAUAACAAUGAAAAAAAAAACAGAUGAACAUAUGGAAA